rnacentral:rRNA from 1 species
CGAUGAUCCGGUGCUUGCAUCGGGGAUUAGUGGCGAACGGGUGAGUAACACGUGAGUAACCUGCCCUUAACUUCGGGAUAAGCCUGGGAAACCGGGUCUAAUACUGGAUAUGACUGCCGGCCGCAUGGUCUGGUGGUGGAAAGCUUUAUGCGGUUUUGGAUGGACUCGCGGCCUAUCAGCUUGUUGGUGAGGUAAUGGCUUACCAAGGCGACGACGGGUAGCCGGCCUGAGAGGGUGACCGGCCACACUGGGACUGAGACACGGCCCAGACUCCUACGGGAGGCAGCAGUGGGGAAUAUUGCACAAUGGGCGAAAGCCUGAUGCAGCGACGCCGCGUGAGGGAUGAAUGCCUUCGGGUUGUAAACCUCUUUCAGUAGGGAAGAAGCCGCUUCGGCGGUGACGGUACUUGCAGAAGAAGCGCCGGCUAACUACGUGCCAGCAGCCGCGGUAAUACGUAGGGCGCAAGCGUUAUCCGGAAUUAUUGGGCGUAAAGAGCUCGUAGGCGGUUUGUCGCGUCUGCUGUGAAAGCCCGGGGCUCAACCCCGGGUCUGCAGUGGGUACGGGCAGACUGGAGUGCAGUAGGGGAGACUGGAAUUCCUGGUGUAGCGGUGAAAUGCGCAGAUAUCAGGAGGAACACCGAUGGCGAAGGCAGGUCUCUGGGCUGUUACUGACGCUGAGGAGC